ACACGUGGGCAACCUGCCUGUAAGUUGGGGAUAACUCCGGGAAACCGGGGCUAAUACCGAAUGAUAAGAUGUGGCGCAUGCCACGCCUUUGAAAGAUGGUUUCGGCUAUCGCUUACAGAUGGGCCCGCGGUGCAUUAGCUAGUUGGUAGGGUAAUGGCCUACCAAGGCAACGAUGCAUAGCCGACCUGAGAGGGUGAUCGGCCACACUGGGACUGAGACACGGCCCAGACUCCUACGGGAGGCAGCAGUAGGGAAUCUUCCGCAAUGGACGAAAGUCUGACGGAGCAACGCCGCGUGUAUGAAGAAGGUUUUCGGAUCGUAAAGUACUGUUGUUAGAGAAGAACAAGGAUAAGAGUAACUGCUUGUCCCUUGACGGUAUCUAACCAGAAAGCCACGGCUAACUACGUGCCAGCAGCCGCGGUAAUACGUAGGUGGCAAGCGUUGUCCGGAUUUAUUGGGCGUAAAGCGCGCGCAGGCGGUCUUUUAAGUCUGAUGUGAAAGCCCCCGGCUUAACCGGGGAGGGUCAUUGGAAACUGGAAGACUGGAGUGCNNAAGAGGAGAGUGGAAUUCCACGUGUAGCGGUGAAAUGCGUAGAUAUGUGGAGGAACACCAGUGGCGAAGGCGACUCUCUGGUCUGUAACUGACGCUGAGGCGCGAAAGCGUGGGGAGCAAACAGGAUUAGAUACCCUG
rnacentral:rRNA from 1 species